AAGGAAUCGUACCUACAAAUGAAUGAGAAAGUACUUUGCUUUCUUGUUCAUAUCGUGUGAUUCCAGAAGCUAUGAAGAGGGCACUUCAGCCAAUGGGAAUCAUAAAUGCCAAGUUGAAACAGUGUUUGGUCUUCAUACCCACAAUCAAUUAUAUCUAGAUGUCUUCUUCCUUCAGGAUUUAAGACGUUUCUUAAAAUUCAAGCUAAAUUUCUCCUCACAUUUACAUGUGUAGGUGCAUACAUAUUUAGUUGUUUUCUAGCAAAUAGGCACAUGGCAAAGGGUAAGUCAACGGGUGAUGGAAUGGAGAGUAUUUUUAUCAUUUUGGGUUUUGUUUCUAAAUAGCUUAUUGUGAGAGUCACCUGGUGAAAACACAGCUUUUCCUGCAUCUCUCAUGCUUGAUCCCCACAAGCGUUAACAUGUGUUCCAGGUUCAAGGACAUGGGAAAAUGACGGGAUAAACAGUUAAGCAGAUCUCCCCACAGCAGAACUUCUCAAAGCGUUUACUUACUAAGCUAUUCUGCAGUUGCCGAUAACUUUUUAAAGGCACACCUGUUAAAUACUCUCGGAAUUCAGUGGCACACGAAGCACUCCAAGAAACGUUGUUCUAUGCCAUUCUUCAACCUGGCCAAACAAGAAUGAUGAUAACCAGGGUUUUAUACGGCACUUGAAAAAUCUGCAAGUAUUUUUAUACUCCUUAUCUCAUCUAAUCAUUAGUAUGUCUGAGUAUAAGAGAACUGGCUCAGAGAGAUUAAGUAACUGGCACAAGUUUAUCCAUCUCUUAUGUGAUGUAGCUCAGAGUCAAAACAAGUCAAAACUGUCUUACCCUGGAGUCUGUGCUCUUUCUGGCUCAGUCAGCUACUUCCACAUGCCAAUUUGCAUAAUAAGGACAACAAUGUAUAAGAAAUGACAAUUUACCUUCACCGAGGUUGGCAGAAUUGGAGAGAAAGCUGAGUUUAGACAAGUUAGGAUGUUUCUCCAAUAACACACCUGUAGUUUAAUGGCAGAACAGGGGCUAGAGCCCCUGUCGUCUAAGUCCUGUGCUCUGCUUCCCAUACCACUUGGAUGAGCUGAGGCUGUUGCAUUAAAUCCCAGCUGGGUAACAUGAUCUUAUAGUGGCAUUAAUGAUUAAAGGGCACACAAUGUAUGUGAAGAAGCAGAAAGUGCUUUGUAAAUGAUAAAAAUUUCUAGCAAUAAACAGCCGGUAGGAAAAUAGCAUAUAGGUUACGGCUUCAACUAUUGAAAAAGUACCUUACUGAUUCUGAGUUAGUUCUGCAGAAUUGAUCUAGGUCAGGCAAGAUGGGUCUCCUUUUCUGAGUUUAGUGAAUGGCUCUUUUCCAUAUAUUUGUGGUCCAUCUGCUGAAUAUUAAUUUAUCUAUUCGUCUGAAUUGAGCACCUGCAAAGCUCUGUGCUAGGUACUAAUCAUCCCCAAACGAAUAAAAUACACAUCUUCUUUCAAGAAAUCUGCUUUCUGAUGAAGAAGACAGAUAGUAAGCAGACAAUUUCAAUACAGGGAAAUAAGCACGUGGUAGGAACAGGAAACUCAGACCACCUCAGGGGUUCAGGUAGGGCUCUCGAACAGGGGAUGUCUGAGCAAAGGUUUGGCUGGUGGGAGAUCUGCUGGCAUUGGCUAUGUAGCUGUGGUUGUGCCCAUGUGUGAGGACAGAGAGGCAAGAAGGAGCAAGGCAGGUUUAGGGUGUGCUUUGCGUUGAGGGUGAGUGAGAGAUAGCACUAGAGGUGCAGAUGGAGAAUUAGUUGGACUGGAUAAUGAAAGGAAUGUCGAUUUUAUUCUGAAGGCACUGAGAAACCAUCGAAAGAUUAUAAGAGGGAAGAGCAUUGACAAAAGUGGUAAAACCUUGUUAGUCGAAGGAACGGCAAAACCAAAAAGUUGAAAGGUUCAGAAGGGGUGUGUGUCAUCAGUUCCUCUCUGACUUGUUCAUGUCUCUUUCACUCAUAAAAGUUCAUUGAUUUUAAACAAAUUGAGCUUGGAUGGAAUGAAUUGGACCAUAUAAAUAGGCCCAACAUGGUGGGAAAGUUUUCGUAAAGUAAAUUCUUGGCAAAGUUUGUGUUACUGUUUGAAGAUAUUUUCCCCAGGAUAUGGUGGGCUUCACCUUAUUGAAAUUUAGAUCUCCUGGUCCUUAGAAAAUUGUUUCUUGUAUUGGUACAGAACUUCAGUUUUCAGAGGGUUUCCAUCUUUUCUUUCCUAUGUGGUCCUCCGAAUCAUCUUUGAGGUGACACUUGCGUUUUGCCUAUGUGGAAAUUGAGAUAGAGAAUUUUAGAUGUUUCCCUCUUUAGGUCAUGUAGUUUUGUAGACUACAUGACUUAAAAAAAGAAAUAUGGAAAAUGGUUGCUGUAACUGAGGAUUAGGUAGAAGAGAAACCUCUCAACUUGAAAUCGUGGUGCAGUGGUUAACGAAUACGACUAGGAACCAUGAGGUUGCGGGUUCGGUCCCUGCCCUUGCUCAGUGGGUUAACGAUCCGGCGUUGCCUGAGCUGUGGUGUAGGUCGCAGACGCGGCUCGGAUCCCGCGUUGCUGUGGCUCUGGCGUAGGCCGGUGGCUACAGCUCCGAUUCAACCCCUAGCCUGGGAACCUCCAUAUGCCGCGGGAGCAGCCCAAGAAAUAGCAACAACAACAACAACAAAAAGACAAAAAGACAAAAAG
ensembl:lncRNA